UGUCUGAUACUGUUUCCAGAACUGAUGGCAUAGCUUCUGCUUGCUCAAGAGAGAGAAGCAAACAAGGCAGCCAGACAAAAUAUUUGCUGAAUGAAGGACAGAAGCGAUAAUGAGCCUUGCUGGCCACCUGACAGCUUACCACCAGCGUAUUAGCAUCAGCUGUGAGGAACCCAGCACUGACAGAGGAAUGAAGGCUCACCUCCAAAGCCAGUUGGUGGGAAUGAGCAAGUGCUGGAGAAUGCUGGUGGCUCCUUUCUUCCCUCUACCAUUUAGAAGAAAAGCAUGGAAAUUUGUUCUCUCCACUACUGGCUUAUAAAGUCCUUGGGGAUCUUCUUCUUCUUCYUUUUUWUUUUAUUUUAUUUUUUAUUUUUUUCCCCGAAGAGUUUGCACAUCUCUAAUCAAGGUAUCUGAAAGUCCUAUCUGAACACAAACAAUAAAGAUAAAAACACUAGGCA
rnacentral:lncRNA from 1 species